GACGAACGCUGGCGGCGUGCUUAACACAUGCAAGUCGUACGGUAAGGCCCUUUCGGGGGUACACGAGUGGCGAACGGGUGAGUAACACGUGAGUAACCUGCCCACAACUUUGGGAUAACGCUAGGAAACUGGUGCUAAUACUGGAUAUGUGCUCCUGCUGCAUGGUGGGGGUUGGAAAGCUCCGGCGGUUGUGGAUGGACUCGCGGCCUAUCAGCUUGUUGGUGGGGUAGUGGCCUACCAAGGCGGCGACGGGUAGCCGGCCUGAGAGGGUGACCGGCCACAUUGGGACUGAGAUACGGCCCAGACUCCUACGGGAGGCAGCAGUGGGGAAUAUUGCACAAUGGGCGCAAGCCUGAUGCAGCAACGCCGCGGGCGGGAUGACGGCCUUCGGGUUGUAAACCGCAUUCAGCAGGGACGAAGCUUUUUGUGACGGUACCUGCAGAAGAAGCACCGGCUAACUACGUG
rnacentral:rRNA from 1 species